GAAGCCAGGCCAAGAAGAAUCCCAGGACUGGAAGGCCUUGUGGGACGUCCCAGGUUUGUCUUGUGUCAAUAGCACUGAUACUCAAUCUCCUACUCCCAUCUGUGAGCAUGCAGACCCUACUUGCCUUCCCACAGCCUCCCUUUUCAUAUUUUUCAUGUUUCUUUAGCUCUGUCUUCAAGCCUUGUUGCUCCCGCAAAAAAACCUGCCUCUUCCUCCAGUCCUCCCAAGCAGGGGGAACAGUCCUGACACCUUUCCAAGCCCUGGUCCAUGGACAUUGUGCCCCCUUCUCCCUGCCCAUGGUGACCUGCUCCAAAACCCUCAAGGAGAAGGGAGUGUAUGUCAUUUCCUCCCUGUAAAGUAAAGAUAAUUUUGCAGGGGACUGUGUGGAUGAAAUGACAUGAUGCAUGGAAAUCCCUUAGCGUGUGCCUGGCAUGUAAACUGCAGGUGUCAUCAUUAUUACUGAGGAAUACUGAGUCCCGAACAUGGCUGUCUCAUUGGUGGACUGGGGUCUCCCCCAGGGCAUUCAUCUACUAUGUGUUUAUUGCACCCUUUUUCCAUGUGAGGCACAUGCCAGGGACUGGGCACAUGGUAUGAACAAGACACAGGUCAUCGGUGUCCUCUUGAGCUCCCUGGCUUGGCAGCAGAUGCAUACCUGGGAAGGAUGCUAGGUCAUCCGGGAACUCUACCUCCUUCAAAUCCCUAAGGACUGUGCUCCCAAUCCGCUUACGCUCAAGGAAGAACUGAGACCAGGCCCACAGAGUAUGGCUGUGCAAGUUGUUCACUCUACAAGGGCACCUGGCCGGGGUCUUACCUUGAAUGGAGGAGAAGAGCUUGAAGAUGAGGGGACAGGCCAAGACAACUACCUGGCCCCGAGGGGUGGCUGGCCAGCAGAUGAGGAAAUGGAGGCACAGACUGAUUAGAAAACCAGCUCAAGGUCAUGUUGCUGCUCUCUCAUUCCUGUUGAGGGCUCUCUGGUGGAGCCUCUGUCUCACAGGUCACCUGCAGGCCAACACUCCCAGAAGCAGCUAGCACCAUGGUUGACCUCGUCCAGGUCCAGGGAAGGCCUCCCUCUCCAGGACUCCUUUAGAUUUCCCCAGCAUCCAGACCUCACCUGCCUAAGUGCUGUUGCCCUGGAAGCCACAGUGAGCACGAGCUCCAUCUUGCACCUUUACCAGCCAAUGGGGGUAAAGACAUUAGCUGGGUUACUCAGGCUGAAAUGCUCAAGACACUCUGUCUCAAGGGAUUUGUGGCUGUUUCAUCCUCAAGUAUAGGGGGAAUAGUGGCCAGGAAGAUCUCAGAGGUGGCUUCUGGAAGAGGAAUCUGGGUACUGGCUACCCUGCCUUGUGUCCCAUCAUUGGUCUGUCUUGCCUGUCUUGGAGCACAUUUCUCACCAAGGUUCGUAGGCCAUGUUCAAUCCCCUCAAGGGAAGCCUGAGACCACAGCUACUGCCUCGAAUCAGAAGCCCCAGCCUCAUCAUCUGGGGCCAGAGAACUAGGGCAGGAGGAGCCAAGUAGCACAGCAGGAAGCAUGAGUCCCUCCGAGGAGAAGCUGGUCUCUGAGAGGAGCACAGAAUGCAGCAGGCUGGAUAAGCCCCCUGCUGAAAUCAUGGGGUAAAAAAGAGACACAGGGGGAAUGGAGGAGCCAGAGAGAAAGCAGUGUGAUCACAGGCACACAGGACAGCAGCUCACCUUCCCAUCCUUGCUGGCUUUUGCACCCAACAGCCCAAAGCCUCCCCGCUGCAAAUUCUUUUUUUUUUUUUUUUUUGCCAGCCUCACUUCCUCUUGGGGAAGGCUGAGCUCUGGUAGAAGAAGAGAAUGAGAACUGCUGUAAAUACUUCUAAGGGGCCAGGCGUGGUGACUCAUGCUUGUAAUUCCAAGCACUUUGGGAGGCUGAGGCAGGUGGAUCACCUGAAGCCAGGAGUUCAAGAGCAGCCUGGCCAACAUGGCGAAACCCUGUCUCUACUAAAAAUACAAAAUUUAGCCAGGCAUGGUGGCGGGAGCCUGUAAUCUCAGCUCCUAGGGAGGCUGAGCCAGAAGAAUCGCUUAAACCUGGAAGCUGGAGGUUGCAGUGAGCCAAGAUCACACCACCACACUCCAGCCUGGGUGACAGAGCAAGACUCCAUCUCAAAAAGAAAAAAAAGAAAAAAAGGAAAUACUUCUAAGUUAUGUGAGAGAGUACAUACUGACAUUUUCAAUGGGUACAAUAA
rnacentral:lncRNA from 1 species